rnacentral:antisense_RNA from 1 species
CAAUUUUGCCUUUUAUAUAUUCCUGUGCAGAAUUUUCAGAAAUUGAUGAGUUUGUAGAUGCG